rnacentral:lncRNA from 1 species
CUCCUCACUCUCGUCCUCGCCGUCCAUAGACUCUGUUCCCACUUCUUCAUAAUCCUUCUCCAGGGCAGCCAGGUCUUCUCGGGCCUCAGAGAACUCUCCUUCCUCCAUGCCCUCGCCCACGUACCAGUGCACAAAUGCCCGUUUGGCAUACAUCAGGUCAAACUUGUGGUCGAGGCGGGCCCAGGCCUCGGCGAUGGCCGUGGUGUUGCUCAGCAUGCAGACUGCCCGCUGCACCUUGGCCAGGUCUCCCCCGGGCACCACGGUGGGCGGCUGGUAGUUAAUGCCAACCUACGAAGAGACAGCAAGUAGUGUAAGCCCUGGGUUCUGUGUUCCCUGGAAGGGGUUCCCAUAACUGGGAAAGGGGCCAGUCAACCGGCGUGUGACAUUUGCCAGGCUGCAAGAAGCACAGGGAUAACGGGACAAGUUAACUACCACCAGAAAACAAAUCCAGAAUGUGGACUUUCAAGAUGGUAAGACUAGUCCCUUCAAAGUCACCAUCAAGAAAAAGGGUGGAUGUUUUACAUUAAAAGAUUUAAGAGAUGGGGGUGCCUGUGUGGCUCAAUUGGUUAAGCGUCCAACUUCGGCUCAGGUCGUGAUCUCACAGUUCGUGAGUUCGAGCCCUGCGUCGGGCUCGGUGCUGACAGCUCAGAGCCUGGAGCCUGCUUCGGAUUCUGUGUUUCCCUUUCUCUCUGCCCCUUCCCUGCUUGUGCUGUCUCUCUCUCUCUCUCUCUCUCUCUCUCAAAAAUAAACAUUAAAAAAAAAAAAAAAAGACUUGAGACAAAUAUAGUGCCUAAUCCUUGAUUAUAUAUACCCUGACUUUGAAACACUGACUAUAGAGCACAUUUGUGGAAAUUGGGAAAGUUUGAAUACUGAGUAGGUAUUCUUACUUUAGAGAAGUGUUAUUAAUUUUGUUAGACACAAAACAAACUUGUGUGUAAUACCUAUGAGUUUAUAUGGAUCAGCAAAGCAAAAAUAAAGGAAACCUAGCAGAGUCAGAUGUUGAAUCUAGGUAGUGGGUAUAUGAUUGUUAACUUAUCUCUCCACUUUCCUAUAGUUUAGAAAAUAGUUUAAAAAAAUAGAAAACCUUGGGAAAAUCUACUUUAGACAUUGCUCUAUUCAGAACGUAUAAAUACAUUUCAUAUUCAGUGUUUGGAAAAAAAAAAAAAAAAGGUCAGCUUCCCCCUUAAUGCCUCUAAUGAGAGCAAGCUUACUAUUUCCUGAAGGCGGUCUACUCUUCCUCUGAGUAGCUAAAGCUUUCCUAAUAUGGAGCUGGGAGAAUCCGCCUCCCAGACUUCCUACCCCUGGUUUCUAGUUCUGAGCUAUAGGACAGCUCUUCAAAACUAGCAAGCAGCUAUUAUCUUUAUGACCAGGAGUCCCUGCCUCGCCUCCAGUUGUGGUCACGUCUGCAACAGUGCAAGGAAGCUGUGUGUUUUUCUUAAAUGCCUCAGCUGCCACCUUUAAUCUUUCUAAGCGCACACUGGAACAAAACCCAUAAAACUUAAAACUAGGUCGUAUGCCCAGUACCCUCUGGGAAUGUAGACUGACGAAAGAACGGGGCAUAUAAACAGAUUCUUCCUCAUUACUCCUCAAGAGAUUGCAUUCAUAGACUUCUGACCCACGUCUUGCCCAUUAUCUGAAUGGUAGGCUUUUCUGCGCUUCCAAAAGCACUCCCUUCCGAGGAGACGGAUUCUGGGGGUAUGUCCCUGGCACAUGUGAACGACGGGUUCCCUGACCUGACUGGCAAACCUAGAGAGUGCCUAUCUGCCAGGCUAAGAGACACGAAACCUACUUUUCCCUUUGUAAGGGCAAGCUUUCAAGUCCAAUAAAAAAGUCGUGAUUUGCCCGAUUCUCCCCAUCCCUAGCACUUCUGUUUCCAUGCUCUGGGGCUCUCUAGGAACCUCCCCUCUAGCAGGUACGCAGGCAGCAUGCGAAUCCCUCCUCCCCUGCUUCAUUCCCGGCUUGCCUUGAAACCCGUGGGACACCAGUCCACAAACUGGAUGGUGCGCUUGGUCUUGAUCGUGGCAAUAGCGGCGUUCACAUCCUUGGGCACCACUUCUCCACGGUAGAGCAUGCAGCAGGCCAUGUAUUUGCCGUGGCGAGGGUCACACUUGACCAUCUGAUUGGAGGGUUCAAAGCAGGCGUUGGUGAUCUCUGCCACGGACAGCUGCUCGUGGUAGGCCUUCUCGGCUGAGACAAUGGGGGAGUAGGUCACCAGGGGAAAGUGGAUGCGGGGGUAGGGCACCAGGUUGGUCUGGAACUCUGUGAGGUCCACGUUGAGGGCACCAUCGAAGCGCAGGGAGGCAGUGAUGGAGGACACAAUCUGGCCGAUGAGCCGGUUGAGGUUGGUGUAGGUGGGGCGCUCGAUGUCCAGGUUGCGGCGGCAGAUGUCAUAGAUGGCCUCGUUGUCCACCAUGAAGGCACAGUCUGAGUGCUCCAGGGUAGUGUGCGUGGUUAAAAUAGAGUUGUAGGGUUCUACAACCGCUGUGGACACUUGGGGGGCGGGGUAGAUGGCAAAUUCCAACUUGGACUUCUUGCCAUAGUCGACAGAAAGCCGCUCCAUCAACAGGGAGGUGAAGCCUGAGCCA